GAACGCUAGCUACAGGCUUAACACAUGCAAGUCGAGGGGCAUCAGGAAGAAAGCUUGCUUUCUUUGCUGGCGACCGGCGCACGGGUGAGUAACACGUAUCCAACCUGCCCUUUACUCGGGGAUAGCCUUUCGAAAGAAAGAUUAAUACCCGAUAGCAUAAUGAUUCCGCAUGGUUUCAUUAUUAAAGGAUUCCGGUAAAGGAUGGGGAUGCGUUCCAUUAGGUUGUUGGUGGGGUAACGGCCCACCAAGCCUUCGAUGGAUAGGGGUUCUGAGAGGAAGGUCCCCCACAUUGGAACUGAGACACGGUCCAAACUCCUACGGGAGGCAGCAGUGAGGAAUAUUGGUCAAUGGGCGCUAGCCUGAACCAGCCAAGUAGCGUGAAGGAUGAAGGCUCUAUGGGUCGUAAACUUCUUUUAUAUAAGAAUAAAGUGCAGUAUGUAUACUGUUUUGUAUGUAUUAUAUGAAUAAGGAUCGGCUAACUCCGUGCCAGCAGCCGCGGUAAUACGGAGGAUCCGAGCGUUAUCCGGAUUUAUUGGGUUUAAAGGGAGCGUAGGUGGACUGGUAAGUCAGUUGUGAAAGUUUGCGGCUCAACCGUAAAAUUGCAGUUGAUACUGUCAGUCUUGAGUACAGUAGAGGUGGGCGGAAUUCGUGGUGUAGCGGUGAAAUGCUUAGAUAUCACGAAGAACUCCGAUUGCGAAGGCAGCUCACUGGACUGCAACUGACACUGAUGCUCGAAAGU
rnacentral:rRNA from 1 species